ACGAACGCUGGCGGCGUGGAUAAGACAUGCAAGUCGAACGAGAGAAUUGCUAGCUUGCUAAUAAUUCUCUAGUGGCGCACGGGUGAGUAACACGUGAGUAACCUGCCCCCGAGAGCGGGAUAGCCCUGGGAAACUGGGAUUAAUACCGCAUAGUAUCGAAAGAUUAAAGCAGCAAUGCGCUUGGGGAUGGGCUCGCGGCCUAUUAGUUAGUUGGUGAGGUAACGGCUCACCAAGGCGAUGACGGGUAGCCGGUCUGAGAGGAUGUCCGGCCACACUGGAACUGAGACACGGUCCAGACACCUACGGGUGGCAGCAGUCGAGAAUCAUUCACAAUGGGGGAAACCCUGAUGGUGCGACGCCGCGUGGGGGAAUGAAGGUCUUCGGAUUGUAAACCCCUGUCAUGUGGGAGCAAAUUAAAAAGAUAGUACCACAAGAGGAAGAGACGGCUAACUCUGUGCCAGCAGCCGCGGUAAUACAGAGGUCUCAAGCGUUGUUCGGAAUCACUGGGCGUAAAGCGUGCGUAGGCUGUUUCGUAAGUCGUGUGUGAAAGGCGCGGGCUCAACCCGCGGACGGCACAUGAUACUGCGAGACUAGAGUAAUGGAGGGGGAACCGGAAUUCUCGGUGUAGCAGUGAAAUGCGUAGAUAUCGAGAGGAACACUCGUGGCGAAGGCGGGUUCCUGGACAUUAACUGACGCUGAGGCACGAAGGCCAGGGGAGCGAAAGGGAUUAGAUACCCCUGUAGUCCUGGCAGUAAACGGUGCACGCUUGGUGUGCGGGGAAUCGACCCCCUGCGUGCCGGAGCUAACGCGUUAAGCGUGCCGCCUGGGGAGUACGGUCGCAAGAUUAAAACUCAAAGAAAUUGACGGGGACCCGCACAAGCGGUGGAGUAUGUGGCUUAAUUCGAUGCAACGCGAAGAACCUUACCUGGGCUUGACAUGUAAUGAACAACAUGUGAAAGCAUGCGACUCUUCGGAGGCGUUACACAGGUGCUGCAUGGCCGUCGUCAGCUCGUGUCGUGAGAUGUUUGGUUAAGUCCAGCAACGAGCGCAACCCCUGUUGCCAGUUACCAGCACGUGAAGGUGGGGACUCUGGCGAGACUGCCCGGAUCAACUGGGAGGAAGGUGGGGACGACGUCAGGUCAGUAUGGCCCUUAUGCCCAGGGCUGCACACGUACUACAAUGCCCAGUACAGAGGGGGCCGAAGCCGCGAGGCGGAGGAAAUCCUGAAAACUGGGCCCAGUUCGGACUGUAGGCUGCAACCCGCCUACACGAAGCCGGAAUCGCUAGUAAUGGCGCAUCAGCUACGGCGCCGUGAAUACGUUCCCGGGUCUUGUACACACCGCCCGUCACAUCAUGGAAGCCGGUCGCACCCGAAGUAUCUGAAGCCAACCGCAAGGAGGCAGGGUCCUAAGGUGAGACUGGUAACUGGGAUG
rnacentral:rRNA from 1 species